ensembl:lncRNA
AUGAAUGUGCUCAGUUCCAUAACUGCAGGACUUGCCAUUCUUCUGAUAGGCAUGGAGUUAGGCCUUGGCUCAGAGACCAGCAAGUAUCGAAGUUGCUUCUAUAUGGCUAUGUUCGUACUGAAGACCAAAUGUGUUCAGUUUUUUGAGAGAUAUGAUCUGGGAAUCCUUGGAAUAUUGCUGGUGUUCUCCAUCCUUCAGUUCAUCAUCGCCAUCUUUAUCUCAGCAUUUGCCUGCAAAGCCACCAGCAACACGGACACAACAAUAUUCAAUGUGGCACUGAUUGGGGAUACUGAGUCACAGUACGGAGAUCCAACCAUCUAAAGUUUGCAAGGAAUUAAUGUCAUAUUGUUGCUUCUAAUGACUCAAGCUAUUUUUAGUGUUACAGUAACUGAACAGGAAAAAAAAAUCAUGUACGUAUCUGUAACAGAGCAAGAAUAUCUGUGUAUAUUUUAUAAUUAGCCUAUUAUAUACAAUAUCAAUAUGUAUAUUAUAUACAAAUAUCCUCAAUCCUAUAAUGUUUCACUGUAUUUGUUGAAACAUUGAUAAAACUGGCUCUCACAAGACAGAAAACAAACACAAUGUAUUUUUAUUCUAGUAAUGUAUAGUACAGUGUUCUGAAAUAAACAGAAAUAUUAUGCAUUAAUAAACA